AUGAAUUCUCAGGGCGGGGUGAAAUUCCCCACCGGCGGUGAUUUUGAUAUAAUCAAAAAGCCCGCGAGCGCCUGCUUUUCAAGCAGGGUCAGCAGAUCUGGUGUGACUCCAGAGCCGACGGUUAGGGGUUCAGAUGUAAAUAGGUCCA
rnacentral:ncRNA from 2 species